rnacentral:rRNA from 1 species
AAUCAACGCUGGCGGCGUGCCUAAUACAUGCAAGUCGAGCGAGACUCUUCGGAGUCUAGCGGCGGACGGGUGAGUAACACGUGGGCAACCUGCCUGUAAGACUGGGAUAACACCGGGAAACCGGUGCUAAUACCGGGCAAUCCUUUUCCUCACAUGAGGAAAAGCUGAAAGUCGGUUUCGGCUGACACUUACAGAUGGGCCCGCGGCGCAUUAGCUAGUUGGUGAGGUAACGGCUCACCAAGGCGACGAUGCGUAGCCGACCUGAGAGGGUGAUCGGCCACACUGGGACUGAGACACGGCCCAGACUCCUACGGGAGGCAGCAGUAGGGAAUCUUCCACAAUGGACGAAAGUCUGAUGGAGCAACGCCGCGAGAGCGAUGAAGGCCUUCGGGUCGUAAAGCUCUGUUGUUAGGGAAGAACAAGUACCGGAGUAACUGCCGGUACCUUGACGGUACCUAACCAGAAAGCCACGGCUAACUACGUGCCAGCCGCCGCCGUAA